GACGAACGCUGGCGGCGUGCUUAACACAUGCAAGUCGAACGAUGAAGCCCAGCUUGCUGGGUGGAUUAGUGGCGAACGGGUGAGUAACACGUGAGUAACCUGCCCUGGACUCUGGGAUAACCCCGAGAAAUCGGAGCUAAUACCGGAUAGGACCUUCUCCCGCAUGGGGGUUGGUGGAAAGUUUUUCGGUCUGGGAUGGACUCGCGGCCUAUCAGCUUGUUGGUGAGGUAAUGGCUCACCAAGGCGUCGACGGGUAGCCGGCCUGAGAGGGUGACCGGCCACACGGGGACUGAGACACGGCCUAGACUCCUACGGGAGGCAGCAGUGGGGAAUAUUGCACAAUGGGCGCAAGCCUGAUGCAGCAACGCCGCGUGCGGGAUGACGGCCUUCGGGUUGUAAACCGCUUUUGUCAGGGAAGAAGCCUUUCGGGGUGACGGUACCUGGAGAAAAAGGACCGGCUAACUACGUGCCAGCAGCCGCAGUAAAAC
rnacentral:rRNA from 1 species